UCAGUCUGUGGUGCAUGCUCGCAGCCAGCUGCCACGGUCAAUGCCCGCGGGGACCCCAGUCUGCCACUAGCGGCCGCGCGACGCCAGUCGACACGACGCCUCCCACUGCCACCGCCACCUCACCCACAAGAGGACGCGUGCCCGGUGAAGAGGUGCCCACCGCCCACCACCCACCCCCCGGCAGCGGCGACAGGCGCGGCGAUCCCGGCCUCAGGACAGUGCAGUGCUGUGCGCGGCGCCGAGCGGACCGGCAUGCAGUGCUAGCUACUGCCGCGUGCGAGAGUGCGUGCUGAUCGAGCCCGGAGCCAACGUCGCAGCCGCAGUCGCCCGAGUCAGCCAGCAGGAUGCGCUGCUUCUGCAAGAGGAUCCGCACCUUCCACGUCAAGGUGGUGCUGCUCGACGAGCAGGAGCUCAUCCAGGAGAUGCAGGUACAGUAUCUUUCACCGCCUGUUAUGAUCUCCCUAAAGCGAUUGGUCGUCUGUUAGCCGCUUUGGUAAGUAAACGUUAUGAACAUAUCUGGUACGUCUAAUUAGUACGUACAAUUCAC